rnacentral:rRNA from 1 species
UGGGGAAUAUUGCACAAUGGGGGAAACCCUGAUGCAGCGACGCCGCGUGAGUGAAGAAGUAUCUCGGUACGUAAAGCUCUAUCAGCAGGGAAGAAAAAAAGUCUCUGGCUUUGGACGGUACCUGACUAAGAAGCCCCGGCUAACUACGUGCCAGCAGCCGCGGUAAUACGUAGGGGGCAAGCGUUAUCCGGAUUUACUGGGUGUAAAGGGAGCGUAGACGGCAGCGCAAGUCUGGAGUGAAAUGCCGGGGCUCAACCCCGGAACUGCUUUGGAAACUGUGCAGCUAGAGUGCGGGAGAGGUAA